rnacentral:rRNA from 1 species
GACGAACGCUGGCGGCGUGCUUAACACAUGCAAGUCGAACGGAAAGGCCCUGCUUGCAGGGUGCUCGAGUGGCGAACGGGUGAGUAACACGUGGGUGAUCUGCCCCUUACUUUUGGAUAAGCCUGGGAAACUGGGUCUAAUACUGGAUAGGACCAUGCUGUAGGGGGUGUGGUGGAAAGAUUAGUUUCGGUAAGGGAUGAGCUCGCGGCCUAUCAGCUUGUUGGUGGGGUAAUGGCCUACCAAGGCGUCGACGGGUAGCCGGCCUGAGAGGGUGGACGGCCACAUUGGGACUGAGAUACGGCCCAGACUCCUACGGGAGGCAGCAGUGGGGAAUACUGCACAAUGGGCGCAAGCCUGAUGCAGCGACGCCGCGUGGGGGAUGACGGCCUUCGGGUUGUAAACUCCUUUCAGCCAUGACGAAGCCCUUGUGGUGACGGUAGUGGUAGAAGAAGCACCGGCUAACUACGUG